AGUGAACGCUGGCGGCAUGCCUUACACAUGCAAGUCGAGCGGAGAUAGAUCAGAAGUUUACUUUUGAUUUAUUUUAGCGGCGGACGGGUGAGUAACGCGUGGGCAACCUGCCUCAUACAGGGGGAUAACACUGGGAAACUAGUGCUAAUACCGCAUAACAUCAUUUAGUGGCAUCACUGAAUGAUCAAAGGAGCAAUCCGGUAUGAGAUGGGCCCGCGUCCGAUUAGCUAGUUGGUGGGGUAGAGGCCUACCAAGGCGACGAUCGGUAGCCGAACUGAGAGGGUGAUCGGCCACAUUGGGACUGAGACACGGCCCAGACUCCUACGGGAGGCAGCAGUGGGGAAUAUUGCGCAAUGGGGGAAACCCUGACGCAGCAACGCCGCGUGAAGGAUGAAGGUCUUCGGAUUGUAAACUUCUUUGAUUGGGGACGAAUAAAUGACGGUACCCAAAAAACGAGCCACGGCUAACUACGUGCCAGCCGCCGCCGUAA
rnacentral:rRNA from 1 species